AUUUUUUGCAGAGGAGUGCUGAGUCAGCACGUUUGCAGUAACCUGGCUUACCGCCUUGCUUCUUCGAGGCUGAUGCAAUUAUCUUUCGCUUUGUAAUCUUCCAUGCUGCUGUAGUGCAAACCGGCCAGGCGGAACUCGUCCGUCUCGUCCACUCACCGAACUGACACACGCCAUCAGAAGACACUUUGGAGUGAAAACGAAAAUGGCUGCGUGUGACCAUAUGGGAAGAGCAACGACAGCACCAGAGGAGCAGCCACGCCUGUCACACAUCACAUGACAAUAACUAUCAGGCUGUGGUUGUGGCCGCCACGUGAUUCCCGCAUGAAUGGUUUAGUUGGGGAGUGCUGGCGUGUUCUUGGCUUGGGGAGCCUAUUAGGCCGCUGUGUUCCAGCUGCCGGCCCCGCACUUGGCGACAGUGGUUUUCACGGUCAGUAAACAGUGGAUCUCUCUCUGUCUCUCUCUCUCUUAGCAAACUCUCCACUCCCCAACUCAAAUCACAGCUUUCAGAGGCCCAGGUCAUGGGAGGUGAAAACAGCAAUGCUUAUCCCUCCCACCCUCACUUAA
ensembl:lncRNA